CGUGACCUGCACGACGAUCGAGGAGCGAUCCUCGGCUUCUGGCUUCUGGCUACUGGCAUUCUGGACUUCAGUGAUUGAAAGACGUGAACAGUGUGAUCAAUCAGUGAGAACUGAAACUGGAAAGUGUGUGAAGAAAAUCGUACGGACACAUCGGAAGAUGGUGACUUGAAUACCUGACCUGAGACCUGAUCGGGGUGAUCGCGGAUGCUGGGAAGGAGAUAGCUGGAAGAUCUGGACAAGACCAGCUGGCACCUACUUAUGGAUUGCGAAGGCGGCGGCGCAGGAGCAGAGGCAUCGGGAGUUGGAGGUUGUCGAUGGCCAAGUGGCCAAGUACCAAGUACCAAGUACCCAGCAUCCAAGUCGCCAGAAGUUGCCGACUCACAAUGUGUGUGCGCAAAGCAAAGGCUUUAAGAAAUGCCGAAUUCCAGAAGCCGCAGUACAAUCAGUUGAAUUAAAAAACGAGCGCACAGACAGAGGACGACGUCUGGAUGGGAUUCGGAUGCGGAUUGGGGAUGUGCAUGUGGAUGGAGAUGAGUAGGGGGAGAUGGAGUCCCCCCUCGGCUUCCAGAGGAUCGCCGGCGAUAUCAUCGCGUGGUGAGCGCGGGCUAGGAAAUUAAGAGGACAUUGUGGCGGCAUGCGGUUAGAACUCGCAGCGGCGGCUUAAACACAAAAUCCGCGGAGGAGAUUCCUUGCGUGGCUGCGUUGUUGGUGGCUUUUGGACAGCGGACAGCUGGACGCUGCCUGUGCUGACAGAGGUCGCCCUCGUACGUAAUCGACGAGCAUUGCAAAUGCUUGUGUCCUCCGCCGCCUGCGUCUUGUGCUGCGCACGUGGCCAUGUUGCAGCCGCAGCAGUCGCAACAGCAGCCGCAACAGCAGCAACUGCAACAGCAGCCGCAACAGCAGCAACUGCAACUGCAGCCAGAGCCAAGCAGCAAAUCAUUGAAAUGUCGUUAGAGGCUCGAGCGGCACGCAGCUUCGAUAGUCAGCGAAACCGCAAAAUGCUUUUAAUUUCUCAAACUGAUAUGCACCCGUGCUCCCGCUUCCACUGCCGAGGAGCAGGAGGAGGUGGAGGAGGAGGAGGAGGGCGGGGCCAGAGGUUUGGUCUUUGUUUCCUUCCUUGGCUUUUCUAUACCUAAUGAUGAGGAAUUGGGGGCCAAGGUUCAAAGCACUAGAUUCGAGCAGAAAACAUCACAAAGAAGUAUUUAGUACAGUAGUCAGCGGCUAAUUUCAUUUGUAUAAUAAGCAUGCACACAAAUAAAGCUGAAGUAAUGUAUCUUGAAUAAAGUUUUGAAAUAAACACGAGUCGUUGAAGCCAA
rnacentral:sRNA from 1 species